AUACGGAGGGUGCGAGCGUUAAUCGGAAUCACUGGGCGUAAAGCGCACGUAGGCUGCUUGGUAAGUCAGGGGUGAAAGCCCGCGGCUCAACCGCGGAAUUGCCUUUGAUACUGCCGAGCUAGAGUCCGGGAGAGGGUAGUGGAAUUCCAGGUGUAGGAGUGAAAUCCGUAGAGAUCUGGAGGAACAUCAGUGGCGAAGGCGAAUCCCUGGACCGGUACUGACGCUGAGGUGCGAAAGCGGGGGGAGCAAACAGGAUUAGAUACCCUGGUAGUCCAUGCCGUAAACGAUGGAUGCUAGGUGUCGGGGCCUUGAGCUUCGGUGCCGUAGUUAACGCGUUAAGCAUCCCGCCUGGGGAGUACGGUCGCAAGGCUGAAACUCAAAUGAAUUGACGGGG
rnacentral:rRNA from 1 species